rnacentral:rRNA from 1 species
AUUGAACGCUGGCGGCAUGCCUUACACAUGGAAGUCGAACGGUAACAGGUCUUCGGAUGCUGACGAGUGGCGAACGGGUGAGUAAUACAUCGGAACGUGCCCGAGAGUGGGGGAUAACGAAGCGAAAGCUUUGCGAAUACCGCAUACGAUCUCAGGAUGAAAGCAGGGGACCGCAAGGCCUUGCGCUCACGGAGCGGCCGAUGGCAGAUUAGGUAGUUGGUGGGAUAAAAGCUUACCAAGCCGACGAUCUGUAGCUGGUCUGAGAGGACGACCAGCCACACUGGGACUGAGACACGGCCCAGACUCCUACGGGAGGCAGCAGUGGGGAAUUUUGGACAAUGGGCGCAAGCCUGAUCCAGCCAUGCCGCGUGCAGGAUGAAGGCCCUCGGGUUGUAAACUGCUUUUGUACGGAACGAAAAGACUCUGGUUAAUACCUGGGGUCCAUGAUGGUACCGUAAGAAUAAGCACCGGCUAACUACGUGCCAGCAGCCGCCGUAA